rnacentral:tRNA from 1 species
GUGGCUAUAGCUCAAUUGGCAGAGCGCCAGAUUGUGAUUCUGGAGGUCACGGGUUCGAUCCCCGUUAGCCACCCCU